UACGUAGGGUGCAAGCGUUGUCCGGAAUUAUUGGGCGUAAAGAGCUCGUAGGCGGUUUGUCGCGUCGAAUGUGAAAACCCGGGGCUCAACCCCGGGCCUGCAUUCGAUACGGGCAGACUAGAGUUCGGUAGGGGAGUCUGGAAUUCCUGGUGUAGCGGUGAAAUGCGCAGAUAUCAGGAGGAACACCGGUGGCGAAGGCGGGACUCUGGACCGAUACUGACGCUGAGGCGCGAAAGCGUGGGGAGCAAACAGG
rnacentral:rRNA from 1 species